rnacentral:rRNA from 1 species
AUUGAACGCUGGCGGCAGGCCUAACACAUGCAAGUCGAGCGGAUGAAGGGAGCUUGCUCCUGGCUUCAGCGGCGGACGGGUGAGUAAUGCCUAGGAAUCUGCCUGGUAGUGGGGGAUAACGUCCGAAAACGGGCGCUAAUACCGCAUACGUCCUGAGGGAGAAAGUGGGGGAUCUUCGGACCUCACGCUAUCAGCUGAGCCUAGGUCGGAUUAGCUAGUUGGUUGGGUAAAGGCCUACCAAGGCGACGAUCCGUAACUGGUCUGAGAGGAUGAUCAGUCACACUGGAACUGAGACACGGUCCAGACUCCUACGGGAGGCAGCAGUGGGGAAUCUUGGACAAUGGGCGAAAGCCUGAUCCAGCAAUGCCGCGUGUGUGAAGAAGGUCUUCGGAUUGUAAAGCACUUUAAGUUGGGAGGAAGGGCAGUAAGUUAAUACCUUGCUGUUUUGACGUUACCAACAGAAUAAGCACCGGCUAACUUCGUG